AACGAACGCUGGCGGCAGGCCUAACACAUGCAAGUCGAGCGGCCAUCUUCGGAUGUUAGCGGCGGACGGGUGCGUAACGCGUGGGAACGUGCCCUUUGCUUCGGAAUAGCCUCGGGAAACUGGGCGUAAUACCGGAUGUACCCUCUGGGGGCCAGAUUUAUCGGCAAAGGAUCGGCCCGCGUUGGAUUAGGUAGUUGGUGGGGUAAUGGCCUACCAAGCCGACGAUCCAUAGCUGGGUGGAGAGGAUGAUCAGCAACACUGGGAGUGAGACACGGCCCAGACUCCUACGGGAGGGAGCAGUGGGGAAUCUUAGACAAGGGGCGAAAGCCUGAACGAGCCAUGCGGUGUGAGCGAUGAAGGCCUGAGGGGUGUAAAGCUCUGUCAACGGGGAAGAGAAUGACGGGACCCGGAGAAGAAGGCCCGGCUAACCCCGUG
rnacentral:rRNA from 1 species